CUUGUUGAUGUUGGCAGAAUAGUCAGGAGUGCAUGCCUUCAAGAAGUAUGUGGCCGAGAAUCCCAACGAAGUGCCGGGAGCUGAACGUUUGAAAAAGAUGAACCGUUUUAUUGCGGAGAUGCUUAAAGAUUUAAAUAA
rnacentral:lncRNA from 1 species